UCCCUCCAGCUGGGAGAGCCUCCUUUAGCUCUUAAAUGCUUUUCCAGUUUGCUCCUUAGUCUGAGAGUGAGGCCAGCUGGAGCCAGUUCUUCGGCUCUAGUGCUCUACCGUGAUGGUGUAGACAUGGUCAGCGCUGCAGUAGAAACUGGGGCCUUUGGGUUCUGUGCUCCCCCCUCAGAAUGAAGGUCACCUGUGCCAAGAACUCCAAGCUUCCUGUAUUCUUUCUUCAUCUCUAUAGAGACCCUUAAGUAUCCACAGCACUUGGAGAG